CAGGUGACAUCACUGCUAGAGGAGAAAGCAGUUCCUAUUACCAACAUACCUCCCUUUUUCUUUUUACAAAAAGAAGAAAAACAAGAGGAAGGGAGAAGCUGAUGGUGUAAGAGGAAAUAGGGAAACCAUGUCUCUUAGUCUACUUCCUGCUGUCUUGGGGCGUCGUCAAUUUUGGGGUAUAGCUGACUUUCAUCAUCAGUAUCCAUUUGGUAAACGUUUGUAUCAGACUCCUCUGUGGACAGCGGCUGGAAAUUCUGUAAGAGGAACUGAUUAAUAGUUUGAUUAGAAAUUUUCUGUAUCUGUCAUUGAAGAAAUGUCAAGAUAACAGUAAUGAGGCAGGGAGAGAGUAGGAAAGGCAUUAUGAAAGGGUGUAACUACUUCCUUAUAGAGUUUUCAGAAAUCCAGGAAUUGGAGGUCUCACGUUCCUUGAAAUUUUGUAUGUCUGAUUGAAGUUUCUGGAUUUUAUUUCUCAAUAUCCUCGAUUGGUUGACAUAAAAACAGCAUUCUUCUUGGAGGGCCAGGCAAAGACCACCUUCUUUAGAUCCAGCCAUCCUCCCUUGGUCUCUUCUGUUUUGCUUCUUUGAGUCUGUUGAUUAUAUCAUAAUUGUCCAGUAGUUUAUUGCUAAUAUCCACUUAUAAGUACCAUUCAUUGCCUUUUGGGUUGGAGUUGUCUCAGUCAUGAUGAUAUUUUUUUAGUUCCAUCCAUUCACCUGCAAAAUUCCUGAUGUCCCUGUUUUUACUGAUGAAGUAUUAUUCCAUUGUGUAGAUAUACUACAUUUUCUGUAUCCAUUCUUCAUUUGAGAGAUAUAAAGGUUUAUGUCUCUGAGCCCAAUAUGACCCUAGGGGGUACAGAGUGACAUAGUUCUUGCACCCGGGACAGAACACUUGCAUGAGCCUCAAAGAGUGCCGAUGGCUAUUGUGCUUGUCAGGCUUGUUUGUGUAGUAAUAUAUAUACUUUGUGGACCCACUAGCAAUGGAGAACUCUUUCCUUCUGAGGAAUGUCCUCACAGUUUAUAUUAAUGGUUCCAUAAUAAUUAGCAUGAGUCCAGGAGUUUAAGCUGUGGCUAUGUCUUGGCAAAAUGCUAAACACUGGGACCUUCAGGAAAGCCUUAAAGACUGCAGGAAUAAAUGGCUUUGAAAAUACAUAAUUUCUCAACUAUUCCAAAAGUAAGGAUGCAAUAGGAGUUAUAUGAGGGGCUUCAUUGAUCUAAAGGAACAAAAGUAGAGAGAUUUGGGGAGUAAUGAUCCCAGGAGAUCUCACCCAGCUAAGGAUUUUUGUUUUUGCUCACUAAGGCAGAUAGAUUCCUGAGUUUGGGAUCAGCCUAGCGCAGAGCAAGUUUAGGCUCAGGAAUGGUGGAAAUGGUAAUUUCAGGGCAGAGUUCCACCCAACUAUUUUGUCACCUAUGCUUAACAAAGGCAGAGAGAUCUCUGAAUUCUUUUGCAAUGUUAAGAAAGAAGUGUAUGCUUGCUGUCUUCUAAGAAUCCCCUGGUGUCAUGGGAUGCUGAUUCAUAAGGUUCCUGAAGAAAUCCUGCUCCCUGGGACAGAACAGUUUGGCAGUGAUUGGUCUCUGAAUUACCCAUGGCUUAGCUUUCCUAAGCACUCUUUCGUCGACACUCUAAGCUUUCCCUAUGUUCCUCUGAACUUUAACUGGCUAACUUAAAAGACAUGAAUUUUUCUCUAUGACCUGUCCUCCUCCUGACAGCUGUGAAUAUGAUUUUCAGCUUCUACAUCCUAUUGUUUUUAUCUUAAACCCGAAUAAAAUUGUCUUCAAGUUUC